rnacentral:rRNA from 1 species
AUGAUCUUGUGGAAUGAUAGGAGAAAAGUAGCAAAGAAGUUAGAUGGAUUGAUUCUACCCCACAUAAUGAAGAAGUUAGACGCAUUGACUAGAGAAUUCAACUUGGAGGUGGUAGAAUGCUCAGAAGAAGUGGCUGAAGUGGUUGCAUUAGGAGGCAGCGGUUUUAGGUUUGUCGUUAACUUGCAAGAUCGAACAUGUUCAUGUCGACAAUGGCAAGUUUGUGGUCUUCCUUGCAAACAUGCUCUUGCAUUCAUCACAUCACUUAGCGAUGCUCACAUAAAGAAUUACGUUGAUUUGUAUUAUUCCACUGAAAAAUUCAGAGCAGCCUAUUCCAACCUGAUCCCUACUAUGCCUGACAAGAGCCAAUGGCCUAAAUCUGACCAUGGAUUUUUCAUGCAUCCACCACUACUUAAAGCUACAGCUGGCAGGCCUAAAACUGAGAGAUAUAAAGGUUGUAGUGACAAGAAAAGAAAAAAGGGCAAGCACUUAUGUCCAAUUUGUAAGGAAUAUGGGCAUCAUUGGCACAACUGUAAGAAGGGUAACCCUGAUGACAUUGCUGCAAUGUUGGCUAUUAGAGAACCACCAAAGAAGAGGGCAAAGACUAGCAAAACAGCCCAGUCCAUUGUGCCUUGCGAGGAUGGAGCACCAACAAGGAUGCUUUUUCCACCACCAAGCCAAAGCUUGGAAACUACAACUAAGAAAAAGAGAAAACGUGACAACACUGAAUCUGGAGGUUCAAAGAGAUCAAAAACUGGCUCCAUUGAGAAGGCCAAGACGAAAAAGAAGGUUGCUCAGAAGAUUCCGGUGCCACUUGACAGCCCAGCAAUGGGCACAAGGAGCAGAAAGUUUAAUCCUCCUAGCCCUGCUAUGAGCACAAGAAGCAAAAGAAGGCUCAACUUGUAA